CUUAAAUUCAGUAAUGAAUCUUUUUAUUUUUCUCUUAGGGCUUUAUGAAUGAAACCUUCUCUUCAGAUAAGAGGGAAACUGUCAGUGGCCACGAGGCACCCAGGAUGACAGGAGUGAGAAGAAUGGGGCAACUGGACUCUGCAUUUCCAGAAAGAAGCCAAGGGUCUAAAGAUUUUUCUCUGUGUGUAUUUUUUGAAAUGACUGUAUUUAGCUUGAGAGCACUUAUAUUUUUGUGAGCUAGGAUGCAGAGCUGCUUUGCUGAAUUCAUCAAGCCCCCUCUGCAUGUUAAAGUACUUAGCUCCUAGAACAGAUAUUUUCUCAUGUUGCAGAUGAAGUUAGAUGUAGGCUGACUGAAGGUUCAUAUCUGUCGAAACAAUGAAAUCCCUUUAGUCCCUUGAGAAGAUUAAGUUAUGUAUAAAGACCAUCUGCUAUGUGUAUGGCCAUCUAAAUAGUUUUGGACAGAAACUUCUCUCUAUAGCAGCAUAAGUCCAUUUUGAGAGUAGCCAGAGACUGAUUUCCCCACACAAAGGUCUAUUAUUGUUAUUGUGGUUCUUCACGGUUUCAUAUCACAAAUGUAUUUGGUUCUGUAUUCUCAGCUGACAUACUGUUGUAGUUACAAUGCUAACUGCCAAGACUACACUUCUGUUAUCAUGUGAGUUGCAGGUUCUUUCUGUGUCUUAUCAUUGGGAGCAGGUGUUGGUUUAAAAUUCUAAUUUUUCUUACACUAGAAAUAUCAAUUUUCUGAUCUCUAAUUAGGAGUCACGAAGGACCGAUGAAGUUGAAAUAGAAAUACUUUAGCUAAGACAUUCACAUUAAUCAUUGGAUAGAGUGAAAAAUAGCACAGAGCAGACUGAAAUAUUGCUAUAAUAGCAGUCCUGACUAUGUCCCUUUUUUUAGGCAACUGAAGUUUCCAUUUGUAUUGCCAAGUAGUUUCAGAUCAAGUAAUUUUAUACAGUUUGCGUGCAGUAGAAUAAACAGGAAUAAAAGCAAACUGUUCAUUUCUUGUUCCCAUGAAUCAUUCUAUCAGCUUUAAGGGACCAUUUCAAAACACUAAAAAGUCAUGAAUGGAACUUCUGAACUGGCUUAGAAUCAUGCUUAUAAAAUGAAUUGUGCUUAUUUUUUGUUUGGGCUGGUUGAAAGUCAGAAAUCAUUCAUUUAGUAUUGCUUUAGGCUAUCUGGAGAAACAAAAUUAAGUUCAAAGUUGAAAUUCUUGCAGUUUUUUAACUAGGAUCUGUGGCUUUAGUAAAACUGUCAAACAUCCAAAUGUGGAUUUAUGAGAUGUGGUAAUAUUGCUUCACCGAGACUAUGUGCAUGAGGAAGAGUUGGCAUACUAGAUUGCCAAAGGUAGAGCACCAGUAUUAACAAAUCUCUGCCACCUUGAAAAUUUAGUUGGAGCCUCAACCUUAUUUUCUAGCUGAAAUUAUAAAAUACCCCCCAAAGUGGGCUGUUUGCAUCUCUUUGAUAUUUGAUAACAUUUUUCAGAUUGCUACCAUGGUUAAACUCAACCCUGUAGUCCAUGGGGCAACACUUGCUGUCUCUGUGCAGCAGGGGGUAUGAACCAUUGACACAGUCACCAUGGAUCCGGGAUGCCCCUAAGAAGGGAUCAGUACAUCUAACCAAAUUCUGGUUUCUAUGAGGGAAUCCUUAUUUCUGGCCAAAAUAAUGGCAAGCAUAAAAGCUGUGUUUAGGAAAUGUUUUGUAUUUUAUCACAUUUAAAUAAUUAAAAAUCAUGACUUUAAGACGGUGGGUGGCCUAACACAACAUUAACAAGAGCCUGUUAAAAUUAUACCAUCAGGCAGUAGUUCACUUUUCUAAACUUAUAAGCAAGACGUUUCACAUGUUAGGUUUAUAUUCCACAGUCUGGAUUUCCACAUGAGGUUAUGAAGUUAUUUUGCAUUAGUGACUCAACUGCAGGAUAUAUGUGCAUAUGAACAUCAAGAACUCAGUGAAAGCUGGCAAAGUUUAUUUUGACAGCUAAGACAAAGUUUGUUAAAGGAAAGGAAGACAAUAUGGAACUAAUGAAAAAUCUGAGGGAUCAUGGAUAAAAAUAUGUGUGGAAACGUCUAAUCUUUGCUGUAGUCUGGUUCUGUGGCAUAGACAUUCAUCACUGGUUCAGUUGCAUCAGUUAUGCUUUUGGAGCGCAUCUUAAGGUUUCAGUUAAAAUCCAUGAAGUCCCUUUCAUGAGUCUGUGUGAACCAAAGCAGAAUCAAUCAUGACAUUAACUUUAAAAGUGCAAUUGUAAUUUGAACUAAAAUGCAGAUGUGGACACACCAUCUGUGUCUGCAUUAUGGACAGUACUGGUAUUAUAAUAAAUAACUACUUGCUUUUUGGAAAAAAGCUUUCCAAAGGGUCUCCUUCAAUCCCUCAGGAUUUUUAUCUGUCUGUCUACCCUUCUCUUUAUGUGAUUCCUUUCAUAAGCUCUUUUCUCUUCCCUAGACCUUAAUAUCCAAUACUUAUAAAAGUGGCUAUGUAAUUUUUCCUGAAAAUAAUCCCUUUCGUCAUCUCUGCUGCAUCUUGUCAUAUGCAUGUGUAGAAAGUGUUUUUCACGUCUAGGUGAACAUUUUUGUCAAUUUUCACUGUCACAAAACAGAGUACACAGUGCUUUCCUCUGAAAGACAAAUGACUUCUCACUUCAGUUGUUUCUCUUGUUGGAUGACAUAAUCUUGGUAUGGCUUUUAUUGUUAGUGAUCAAUCUGCUCUUAAGCAAAAACUGGCAUCUCCAAUACUGUCUCCUACUUGGAAUGAGACUGUAUUUUUUAUGUUUCUGCUCAUUUUAUAUGUCUAUAACCUCCUCUAAAAUAGGAUGUUUCAUUCUUUUUGGCUUGUUUUCUUCUGGGAAAACUAGUUUCUAGUCCUUUGCUUUGAAGUCACCCAUUGACACCACUGAUGCACCUCUACUACACUUGUGAUACUAAUCUUUCACUUCUGGAGUCAGAUUCUUGUCAUUUGUUCCUAGUUCUUUGCUGGUAUUACUGAAGUUAUCCCAAACAUCAUGCCAGAACAAGAAGUGUCUGUGAGAGGAUUUUGGUACAUUGCUCUGAUGGGUGCUCAAUUCUUUAUUCAUAUUUAUUGUGGACAGAACAGAAACUAUUGAUUUAUAUUUUGCAUGCAUUCUCCUUCUGUGUUGGCUCAGAAGUAUUAAAAAAAGAAGGGGGAGGGGUGGGGGAAAAGUGUAGCAAAAUAAAUGAUAUCAUCUCGUAAGUUUCUGGGCUACUAGGAACUCCUGCAAAAAUGUCUCUCAGCCCCUGAGUACACAAUGACUUUCCAGUAUAACAUACUUUGUAAUCCUUCUUCUGGUGUCUUCUGAUACUUACAAAGCUGGCUAUAAACUAACUAAACAUUUGUACACCAUCUAUAAAUUAUGAGAUAGAAAAAGACAAAAAGCAUGGAAACAUUUUCUGAUUAAAAUUGUACUUGGAAAGGAAGAGCCUCAUAGAGAUUUUAUCACUUCAGUGCUCUAGCCACUGUAACAAGCAUUCGGGAGUCUGGAGUCCAGUCAAGAUACUGAAAUGUCAAAUGAGAGUUUUGAAGGUGUUCUUACUCUUCAGCUGAACAUUCUGAAUUCCCUCAACAUUUGAUCAGUGACCUUUAACUCCUUUUCUCGUAAAUUUUAUGACUACUCCUGCCCUCAUACAAAUCUUAAUAGAAUCCAGAGGAGAUCCAACAAAACCAGAAACAAUGCAGGAUUAAGUAAAAAUAAAAAAAGUCUAAAUAUGCAAUAUUUUAUAAA
rnacentral:lncRNA from 1 species